UACAGAGGGGGCCAGCGUUAUUCGGAAUUAUUGGGCGUAAAGGGCUCGUAGGCGGUUUGUCGCGUCGGGAGUGAAAACACCGGGCUUAACUCGGUGCUUGCUUUCGAUACGGGCAGACUGGAGGUAUGCAGGGGAGAACGGAAUUCCUGGUGUAGCGGUGAAAUGCGCAGAUAUCAGGAGGAACACCGGUGGCGAAGGCGGUUCUCUGGGCAUUACCUGACGCUGAGGAGCGAAAGUGUGGGGGGCGAACAGG
rnacentral:rRNA from 1 species